rnacentral:rRNA from 1 species
UUGGAGGGCAAGUCUGGUGCCAGCAGCCGCGGUAAUUCCAGCUCCAAUAGCGUAUAUUAAAGUUGUUGCAGUUAAAAAGCUCGUAGUUGAAUUUCGGGGUUCUACCGUUGGUCAGGCUAUUGUCUGUACUGGCGUGUAGAAUUUCUACCUUCUGGGGAACUAUCAUGUUAUUAAUUUAGCGUGGUAGGAAACCAGGACCUUUACCUUGAAAAAAUUAGAGUGUUCAAAGCAGGCUUAUGUCUGAAUACAUUAGCAUGGAAUAAUAAAAUAGGACGGUGGUCCUGUUUUGUUGGUUUCUGAAUCACCGUAAUGAUUAAUAGGGAUAGUUGGGGGCAUUAGUAUUCAAUUGUCAGAGGUGAAAUUCUUGGAUUUAUCGAAGACUAACUACUGCGAAAGCAUUUGCCAAGGAUGUUUUCAUUAAUCAAGAACGAAAGUCAGGGGAUCGAAGACGAUCAAAUACCGUCGUAGUCUUAACCACAAACUAUGCCGACUAGGGAUCGGACGAUGUUAACUUUUCUUGACUCGUUCGGCACCUUACGGGAAAC